rnacentral:rRNA from 1 species
GUGGGGAAUCUUGCGCAAUGGGCGAAAGCCUGACGCAGCCAUGUCGCGUGGAUGAUGAAGGUCUUAGGAUUGUAAAAUCCUUUCACCGGUGAAGAUAAUGACUGUAGCCGGAGAAGAAGCCCCGGCUAACUUCGUGCCAGCAGCCGCGGUAAUACGAAGGGGGCUAGCGUUGCUCGGAAUUACUGGGCGUAAAGGGCGCGUAGGCGGACAGCUUAGUCAGAGGUGAAAGCCCAGGGCUCAACCUUGGAAUUGCCUUUGAUACUGGCUGUCUUGAGUGUGGGAGAGGUGAGUGGAACUCCGAGUGUAGAGGUGAAAUUCGUAGAGAUUCGGAAGAACACCAGUGGCGAAGACGACUCACUGGCCCAAUACUGACGCUGAGGCGCGAAAGCGUGGGGAGCAAACAGGAUUAGAAACCCCAGUAGUCC